GACGUAGGGCGCGAGCGUUGUCCGGAUUUAUUGGGCGUAAAGAGCUCGUAGGCGGCUUGUCGCGUCGACUGUGAAAUCCCGCGGCUCAACUGCGGGUCUGCAGUCGAUACGGGCAGGCUAGAGUUCGGUAGGGGAGACUGGAAUUCCUGGUGUAGCGGUGAAAUGCGCAGAUAUCAGGAGGAACACCGAUGGCGAAAGCAGGUCUCUGGGCCGAUACUGACGCUGAGGAGCGAAAGCGUGGGGAGCGAACAGG
rnacentral:rRNA from 1 species